rnacentral:rRNA from 1 species
GACGAACGCUGGCGGCGUGCUUAACACAUGCAAGUCGAACGGUAAGGCCCUUCGGGGUACACGAGUGGCGAACGGGUGAGUAACACGUGGGUGAUCUGCCCUGCACUUCGGGAUAAGCCUGGGAAACUGGGUCUAAUACCGGAUAGGACCAUGGACUUCACGGUUUGUGGUGGAAAGCUUUUGCGGUGUGGGAUGGGCCCGCGGCCUAUCAGCUUGUUGGUGGGGUAAUGGCCUACCAAGGCGACGACGGAUAGCCGGCCUGAGAGGGUGUCCGGCCACACUGGGGCUGAGAUACGGCCCAGACUCCUACGGGAGGCAGCAGUGGGGAAUAUUGCACAAAUGGGCGCAAGCCUGAUGCAGCGACGCCGCGUGAGGGAUGACGGGCCUUCGGGUUGUAAACCGUCUUUCUAAUAGGGACGAAGCGCAAGUGACGGUACCUAUAGAAGAAGACACCGGCCAACUACGUGCCAGCAGCCGCGGUAAU